GAAGAAGAAGAAGAAGAAGAAGAAGAAAACUGAAACUGCAUCAGCAUGUUCAAAAAUCAGCAACAGCGUUACCACUAAAAACUCCUGACGUGGUCAAAUACCUCUAAAGUCAGCUGUUGUUGGAAAUAAAAUGUUUAGAUAGAGUGAAUGGAGAUUUCAGGUCAGGCUAGUAGACAAAUGAUCCCUGGUGAAGUUCGACUUCUUCUUGAAUUGUAGGGUAUGAGUGUGGGUGAUGGAUGAUACUCAAUGUGGGGACUUUUUGAUCCAAGAUGAGGACACGAUUAUUGAGGGUGUCAGCAACCAGGUCUUGUUUGUCGUGGUCCUUAGUUUCACCUUCUUAGCAGGCCUCCUCACUCUGCUCUGCAGACAGGAGGAGCAGAACAUCCAUCCUGAGAAUCAGGAACAUGUUCGAGCCGUCCGACAACAGCUCCAGACUGAGCAGGAUGAAAAUCCUCAGGCUGAAGCCAGGCAGCAGUACUACACAGACAUGUCUUGCCCCGUGUGUUUACAGCAGGCUGUGCUGCCUGUAGAAACCAAUUGUGGACACCUUUUUUGUGGUUCCUGCAUCAUAGCUUACUGGAGAUAUGGCACCUGGCUGGGUGCUAUCAACUGUCCAAUCUGCAGACAGAUGGUAACACUGGUUUUUCCACUAUUUCAUGAGCACACUUCUCCUCAGACGGUACAAGAUGGUGAGGCACAACCUCAGCUUAUAUUAAGAGAUAUCAAUGAUUACAACCGGAGGUUUUCAGGCCAGCCAAGAUCUUUAUUGGACAGGCUGCGCGACGUACCUACUCUGCUUCGUCACGCCUUCAGGGAAAUGUUUUCAGUGGGCGGCCUCUUCUGGAUGUUCAGGAUUCGAAUUCUUCUCUGCCUGGUUGGCGCGAUCACCUACCUGGCCUCGCCACUUGACAUCCUCCCAGAGGCGCUAUUUGGCCUCCUGGGUUUUAUGGAUGAUUUCUUUGUAAUCCUUCUUUUGUUUGUGUACAUCUCCAUCAUGUACAGAGAGGUGGUCACGCAGAGACUGAACGGCUAACUGGUUGCUCGUAAAAGUUAAAUGAGGCUUAGUGAAGAGUUAACACACAUCUGAGGUGGACAUGUAAAAGUUCAGAGUUGUUCAUUAGUAUUUUUUACUCAGAUGGGUUUACACGAACUGUGAGCUAAAAUUUUAAUGCAGAAGAAGGCCAGAAUUGUUUUGUGAUAACUAAAUUACUGUGACAGCAGUUGUUUAAUGUGAAUAUCAUCAUAAAAAGAGUUCUGUAAUAUAACAACAGCUUGAACUCAACAAGUUUCUUUAUUAAAUGGAUUUAAAGAUGACUGUCUGCAUCUGGAUUACAAGGCAAAUAUGAGCUGCAGGACUCACUGUUCCUGUUACUAGUCAACCUAAUUGCUCCUCUUUCAUUGUGUAACUAUGCAUAUUCAUUAUUACUUGAAAAACGUGUUAAAUCUGUGUUAAAAAUCACAGACUUGU